GCCCGGAUAGCUCAGACGGUAGAGUGAAGGAGUGAAAAUCCUUAGGUCCGGUUCGAAUCCGAGUCCGGGCACCA
rnacentral:tRNA from 1 species